rnacentral:misc_RNA from 1 species
GAUGAAGAACGUAGCGAAAUGCGAUAAGUAAUGUGAAUUGCAGAAUUCAGUGAAUCAUCGAAUCUUUGAACGCACCUUGCGCUCUUUGGUAUUCCGAAGAGCAUGCCUGUUUGAGUGUCAUGAAAAUAUCAACCUUGACUUGGGUUUUGUGCUCUAGUCUCGGCUUGGAAUUGGGUGCUUGCCGCUUUUACGAGCGGCUCACCUUAAAUGUAUUAGCUGGAUCUGUCUUUGAGACUUGGUUUGACUUGGCGUAAUAAGUAUUUCGCUAAGGACAUUCUUCGGAGUGGCCUCGUUUCUAGGACGCUUUGUCCGCUUUCCAAUACAAGUUCCACCUCGUGGACAUGACUUUUUAUUAUCUGGCCUCAAAUCAGGUAGGACUACCCGCUGAACUUAAGCAUAUCAAUAAGCGGAGGA